UCUUCUUUUUUAUUGAUCUACUUUUCCAACACUUUUCAGCCUUUCUACUUAACAAGCCUGCUUGCUUGCUUGUGUGUUGCUUUGUUUUAGUCUCACCGAGCUCUGGUUCUCACCCUGAUGGCAGCCUCAUCCGACCCGGGAGGUUCAUGUCAGGUCUGCGUUCCGAGCGGCAGCCGCCACAUCCGCGGACGACGGCGCAGCGGCCCGCGUGAGCCUGCCGACUCACAGCUCCCGAGCCCGUAGAGCUGCAGCGAUGAGGAGGACGAGCGGCACAACAGAAACAGCUUGUACUCGACGGAGGACGGUUAAUGACACCGCGACCGGGUGCGGACAUCAUUUGAAAUGAUUUUGACGACACAUUGCAACACUGGGGUUUCCCAUGCCUAGAGCGCAUUUUUUUCUUUACGUACAAUUGGGAUGGGAUACAAUUCUUUUUGUAACAAAACCCCCCGUUUUUAUCUGACAAAAGAAUUUGCUCAAAUGCAUUUACCCAAAUUAUCGCAAAAUUGGCAAGGUAAUGAUCUAAUUAGAUAAGAGAUUAGGGAAUCGCACCUCACAUUCGGUGCUCGCCUUCAAUUCCUUUUGUUUAAUUCGCCACUGAUUUUUCGGGAAACAGAGAAAGUGUUUACUUGGUAAACUUCCAAUUAACUGAUUCCAAUUAACUGAUAGUGUAAUUUAAAGUCUUUUAGCAGGCGAACAGCUGCCGAGGUGAACACGCAGAAAGUUUUACAAACAACCAAACCACCACGGAGUGAUUAUUUGAAUUUGUUUUCUUUUUAUCCGUGUUAUUUUCAACCUGGCACUAAAUAAAUUAGGUUUUCUUUUCCCCUUCCACACCUGGUGUCCCUGAGCCUUACUGCUUGGUCCUUGACAUACGUAGACAAUAUAUCAAUAUUCAUUUUUUGGGGGGGGGGCUUUAUUAAUUAGGCUUAGAGUUGUCGUCUUUUACUGCAACCAAAUUACUUUAUCUCCAGGAGAUAUUCAUAAAAUGGUGGACUGGCGAAAUAAAAUAGUAUUUGUGACCACUGCGUAAUUGGCAACCUGCAAAAGGAGAAGAAGGAAGAGGGAGAAAAUACGAAUCGUGAGCUGAAGUGCACGACAGAAGGCACAGUAGAAGCGUGCGGCUCU
rnacentral:lncRNA from 1 species